AAUGCUGUCUAGUAUAAGCAAUUAUACCGCGAAACUGCGAAUGGCUCAUUAUAUAAGUUAUCGUUUAUUUGAUAAUACUUUACUACUUGGAUAACCGUGGUAAUUCUAGAGCUAAUACAUGCUGAAAAUCCCGACUUCGGAAGGGAUGUAUUUAUUAGAUUAAAAACCAAUGCCCCUCGGGGCUCUCUGGUGAAUCAUAAUAACUAGUCGAAUCGACAGGCCUUGUGCCGGCGAUGGCUCAUUCAAAUUUCUUCCCUAUCAACUUUCGAUGUUUGGGUAUUGGCCAAACAUGGUGGCAACGGGUAACGGAGGGUUAGGGCUCGACCCCGGAGAAGGAGCCUGAGAAACGGCUACUACAUCCAAGGAAGGCAGCAGGCGCGCAAAUUACCCAAUCCCGACACGGGGAGGUAGUGACAAUAAAUACUGAUACAGGGCUCUUUUGGGUCUUGUAAUCGGAAUGAGUACAAUUUAAAUCCCUUAACGAGGAACAAUUGGAGGGCAAGUCUGGUGCCAGCAGCCGCGGUAAUUCCAGCUCCAAUAGCGUAUAUUAAAGUUGUUGUGGUUAAAAAGCUCGUAGUUGAACCUUGGGCCUGGCUGGCCGGUCCGCCUCACCGCGUGCACUGGUCCGGCCGGGCCUUUCCCUCUGCGGAACCCCAUGCCCUUCACUGGGUGUGGCGGGGAAACAGGACUUUUACUUUGAAAAAAUUAGAGUGCUCAAGGCAGGCCUAUGCUCGAAUACAUUAGCAUGGAAUAAUAGAAUAGGACGUGUGGUUCUAUUUUGUUGGUUUCUAGGACCGCCGUAAUGAUUAAUAGGGACAGUCGGGGGCAUCAGUAUUCAAUUGUCAGAGGUGAAAUUCUUGGAUUUAUUGAAGACUAACUACUGCGAAAGCAUUUGCCAAGGAUGUUUUCAUUAAUCAGGAACGAAAGUUAGGGGGAUCGAAGACGAUCAGAUACCGUCGGAAGUCUUAACCAUAAACUAUGCCGACUAAGGAAUCGGACGAUGUUACAUUUUUGACGCGUUCGGCACCUUACAGAAAAUAAAAAGGGGUUGGGUUUCGGGGGAAAAUGGGCCCCAGGGUGAAACUAAAGAAAGUGUAGAGGGAAGGAAGGAAGAGGGAAAA
rnacentral:rRNA from 1 species